rnacentral:rRNA from 1 species
UACGUAGGGGGCUAGCGUUGUCCGGAAUCAUUGGGCGUAAAGCGCGUGUAGGCGGUUCGGUAAGUCUGCUGUGAAAGUCGGGGGCUCAACCCUCGAAUGCCGGUGGAUACUGUCGGACUAGAGUGCGGAAGAGGCGAGUGGAAUUCCUGGUGUAGCGGUGAAAUGCGCAGAUAUCGGGAAGAACACCCGUGGCGAAGGCGGCUCUCUGGGACGGUACUGACGCUGAGACGCGAAAGCGUGGGGAGCGAUCCGG